GACGAACGCUGGCGGCGUGCUUAACACAUGCAAGUCGAACGAAGAGCGAUGGAAGCUUGCUUCUAUCACUCUUAGUGGCGAACGGGUGAGUAACGCGUAAUCAACCUGCCCUUCAGAGGGGGACAACAGUUGGAAACGACUGCUAAUACCGCAUACGAUCUAAUCUCGGCAUCGAGGAUAGAUGAAAGGUGGCCUCUACAUGUAAGCUAUCACUGAAGGAGGGGAUUGCGUCUGAUUAGCUAGUUGGAGGGGUAACGGCCCACCAAGGCGAUGAUCAGUAGCCGGUCUGAGAGGAUGAACGGCCACAUUGGGACUGAGACACGGCCCAGACUCCUACGGGAGGCAGCAGUGGGGAAUCUUCCGCAAUGGACGAAAGUCUGACGGAGCAACGCCGCGUGAGUGAUGACGGCCUUCGGGUUGUAAAGCUCUGUUAAUCGGGACGAAAGGCCUUCUUGCGAAUAGUGAGGAGGAUUGACGGUACCGGAAUAGAAAGCCACGGCUAACUACGUG
rnacentral:rRNA from 1 species